GGCUGGCUGGGUGCAGCGGGAAGGAGAGAGCUUGCUGGGCAGACAUUUUGAAGAGGAGAGCGACAAUCAUAUCUGAUAAAUAUUCUUUACACUGAGAUGAUUACCUGAAGGCAAGACAGAAGUUAAGACUCCUUAACUUGCUCAACAUCAGAUCUGCAGUCAGAAAAGGAAGACGAUGUGACAAAGCCAAAGAGACAAAGGACGGCCAGAAUUCGGUUUGGCGACACUGAUAGUGACAUCGAUGAUAGUGCGUCAAAAAGGGUUCAAGAAAGACAAUAAAAAGCUCCCUGCCAGCUGCAGCAGCAGUACCUCGCCCACCUUCAACUUCACCUGCUACACAAAGACCACAAGUAAGUGCAUCACCUAGCCAGCCUCCAGACGAGUGUGUUGAAGACUUCAUUCAGUCGCCUUCAAUGAUGGCACAGACACCAAGGAGAGUCACUGCUGUACCCACUAGACUGGAUUUCACUCGACCAUCAAGAAGUGAAAUGCUCACUUUCACUCCCACCGGUAGAGUUGGGAGGACUGGAACUGCAUCAAUUCCCUGCACUGGUAAUCUCCUCAUCAUGAUGUUAUUUUAGACCUAGAAAUGCUUAUUUGUACCAGUGUUGUUUGAACUCUCUGGAUGCCACAGUAAGAUGGCAGCCACGAGCAAUCUGUCAAAACACCCCUUUUGCAUGAUUUGAGUUUGAGUGUCCAUCUGUUGAUAACUCUUCAGCAGAGUACGGAGUGCAUUCAGUGUGUGUCCAUCUGUUGAUAACUCUUCAGCAGAGUACGGAGUGCAUUCAGUGUGUGCUCAUCUGUUGAUAACUCUUCAGCAGAGUACGGAGUGCAUUCAGUGUGUGCCCGUCUGUUGAUAACUCUUCAGCAGAGUACGGAGUGCAUUCAGUGUGUGCCCGUCUGUUGAUAACUCUUCAGCAGAGUACGGAGUGCUUUCAGUGUGUGCCCGUCUGUUGAUAUCUCUUCAGCAGAGUACGGAGUGCAUUCAGUGUGUGCCCGUCUGUUGAUAACUCUUCAGCAGAGUACGAAGUGCUUUCAGUGUG